rnacentral:rRNA from 1 species
UACGUAGGGCGCAAGCGUUUAUCCGGAAUUAUUGGGCGUAAAGAGCUCGUAGGCGGUUUGUCGCGUCUGCCGUGAAAGUCCGGGGCUCAACUCCGGAUCUGCGGUGGGUACGGGCAGACUAGAGUGAUGUAGGGGAGACUGGAAUUCCUGGUGUAGCGGUGAAAUGCGCAGAUAUCAGGAGGAACACCGAUGGCGAAGGCAG